UACGGAGGGUGCGAGUGUUGUUCGGAAUUAUUGGGCGUAAAGCGCGUGUAGGCGGUUUGGUAAGUCUGAUGUGAAAGCCCUGGGCUCAACCCGGGAAGUGCAUUGGAAACUGUCAGACUUGAAUACGGGAGAGGGUAGUGGAAUUCCUGGUGUAGGAGUGAAAUCCGUAGAUAUCAGGAGGAACACCGGUGGCGAAGGCGGCUACCUGGACCGAUACUGACGCUGAGGCGCGAAAGCGUGGGGAGCAAACAGG
rnacentral:rRNA from 1 species